rnacentral:rRNA from 1 species
CGAACGCUGGCGGCAGGCCUAAUACAUGCAAGUCGAACGGCUCUUCGGAGCAGUGGCGGGCGGGUGAGUAACGCGUGGGAAUGUGCCCUUAGGUACGGAACAACACAGGGAAACUUGUGCUAAUACCGUAUGUGCCCUUCGGGGGAAAGAUUUAUCGCCUUUGGAGCAGCCCGCGUUGGAUUAGGUAGUUGGUGAGGUAAAGGCUCACCAAGCCGACGAUCCAUAGCUGGUCUGAGAGGAUGACCAGCCACACUGGGACUGAGACACGGCCCAGACUCCUACGGGAGGCAGCAGUAGGGAAUCUUGCGCAAUGGGCGAAAGCCUGACGCAGCCAUGCCGCGUGUAUGAUGAAGGUCUUAGGAUUGUAAAAUACUUUCACCGGGGAAGAUAAUGACGGUACCCGGAGAAGAAGCCCCGGCUAACUUCGUGCCAGCCGCCGCAGUAACAC